GCCAAUGUAGCUCAAUGAAAGAGCAUCGCCUCCUCAUAUCGGGGGCCAUAAGAACAGCUUGAAUACAGGCGAAAGGCGUAGGUUCGAGUCCUACCAUUGGUA